rnacentral:lncRNA from 1 species
UGCCUGCUUGUUUGCCACUGAUGCUCUGCAACAACAACAGCAGAGGACUUGUUGUAUUUUCAAGGAUAGUGAAGGUGGAAAGGUGCAAUGUGAGAAGCCCUCCUGUGGCCAAGAGGAUGACAAAUUAGCCCUUAUUCAGCAAGGAGAGACAGGAGUGCUCCGAGGUUAGUGAAGUGCAUGGUCAUACUACUGUUUUCACCUGGUUUAGGCAUGUUUGUAUUAUUAUUUUAGCUCAUACAGACCUUUUUCAGAUUGGACACUGGCAGAGCUGAGACUUACACAGAUGCCUCUUGUUUUUCAGUUUCUCAUUCACCACUAUUUUAUGACUAUCAGAGUAUUUAUUUUCUUGGAUCAAUAAACAUGGAGCAGGUUUUGUUCAGGUGUACUGUACUGGACUGGGUGUAUUUCCGCAUCAUUGUGUUAGUGUUAUUAUCACUUUCCAGGAUCUGGAGAUGCUGUCUACAGCUCAGCAGAUGCUGCAGGACAGCCGUUCCAAGAUCGAGCUGAUCCGAAUGCAGAUUAUCAAAGUCACCCAGACUGGUGUUGGGGAUGGGAGCAGCAACCAUGACAGCACCAAUCAUGGAGGAAGUACCCCAGUGGGUGUAAAUCCCCUGGACAUCCAUGUGUUUGAGUUAAAACACUAUGUCCAGAGAGAGACAGAGGUGGUGAAGGUGGCCAGGGAUGUGGUGAAGCAGCUUGAGGAGCUGCCAUCCCAGGACCAAUUGGCCCUGGCUGAGGUGGGCUAGCUAGAAUGUAUCUAUAAACUAUUUUUAUUGUUUUACAAUUCUAUUUGAGAACAUUCUAAAAAACAACCUACAAAAUUAGUAUAAUUUCAGAGGGACUAAUGAAUAUUUUGUACAAUUAGUUAGUUUGAGAGUGGAAAGAGUCUUGGUUG